UGUCAAGGGCGGACUUUUAGUUUAUGUUCAAAAUAGAAUGAGCAGCUUUUUUUCCCCGUUUCACACGAUGAAUCCACGUUUUUAGUGUCAUGAAAUACUAGCUUACUUUGAUUAAUUCACGGUCGCCAACAAGGACAUUUGGUCGAGCGAUGUCGUCCGCUGGUUGACGUUUAAUAACGGUGAUUUAUUUCGUCACUCAGGAAGCUCUACACAUUCAUCCAGCGAUGUUACCCAUGAGGACCAUGAUGACGCCUGUCAAGCCCUCCCAAAAAACUGCAGCUGCAACAAAGAUCAAAAACAAGAUUCUCAACUCCUCCUUCUUCUUCAAGGUCUCUUGAAGACCAACAACAAGGCCUGGCGCUGGCCUUGGAGGCCCAGAAGGAGAGGAGCAGGCAGCUGCAGAAGGGGAUUGUGUUCUAUCAGAGACAAGUGAAGGCUCUCUGCUUCGAGCUGUCCACCAAUAAAUACAAGCAAAGGAAACUGCUCCUCAUCCUGAAAACCUUCCACAGCAACACUCUGCAGCACUUUAACAUGGUGGCGGACCUGUUCUCAGACAGUGAUCAUCCUAAACCGUCUGACGACAACACAACUUUAUCUGGUGACAUCGAAGAAAAUCUUAUAGUGGCAAGUCUUACAGAUCAGUUACCUCCUCAGCCAGACAUUUUAGGGAAUUUGUUCUGUCCCCUCGGAAAAGUAACUGCGGACUUGCCUGAAAAAAACAUUGGCACAAAUGUCUUGAAUAUCCAGAACAGACGCAGGGAGGUCACUGACAUUUUCUGUGAUAACGUAGAUGCUGAGAAAAGGAAUUCAAGCCAUUAUACAAACUCCCCAGAAAGGAAAAUCCCGUCCAUCCAGCAGCCUUAGGGAUGAAGUGGAGAGGCUGUCAUCGAUGUUCUCUCAAACUGUGUUUGAUAUCAAGUCGGUCCCCUGUUUUCCGAACAGUCAAACCCCCUCAGCUGUAAGCGCGUGUGAAAAACCUCAGCCAUAUCUCUCUGACACGUUCCCGUACCAAGUGGCUCAUUCAUGGAAAUAGAACCAGAACAUGGUA